UACCAGCACCCCGAGUGGUCGGGACGUUUUAUUGGGCCUAAAGCAUCCGUAGCCGGUUCUACAAGUCUUCCGUUAAAUCCAACUGCUUAACAGGUGGGCUGCGGAAGAUACUAUAGAGCUAGGAGGCGGGGAGAGGCAAGCGGUACUCGAUGGGUAGGGGUAAAAUCCGUUGAUCCAUUGAAGACCACCAGUGGCGAAGGCGGCUUGCCAGAACGCGCUCGACGGUGAGGGAUGAAAGCUGGGGGGAGCAAACCGG
rnacentral:rRNA from 1 species